GUUCUGGCCGCAGUUAUUUCUGUUGCAACAAUCUUUGAGCUCUUCACUAAAAGUUGGGAAGAUAAACGCAAGAAUGCCCUUUAUUACAAGUGCGUCACUGCGUUCUCGGUCGUGAGGAACAGCAGAGUCAUCCUGAACGUCAGCAACAACGACAAUCCAGAGACACGACGCUACCAGUUUGCAUAUGGUCUUCGCUUCUUGAGCAUCUUCUGGAUAUGUCUAGGGCAUUCGUACGCCACAGUCAACGAAAACAUAGCAAGACUGCUUAAUGCUGUGUACAUAUUCGAAAGCUGGGAGUCACCGAUCAUAUCAGCAGGCUCCAUGGCUGUAGACACAUUUUUC